rnacentral:rRNA from 1 species
GGGGAAUAACUUUUGGAAACGAUAGCUAAUGCCCCAUAGACUCGAAAGAGAAAAAAGAGCAAUCUGCCUAAAGAGAAGCUCGCGGCUGAUUAGCUAGUUGGUAAGGUAAUGGCUUACCAAGGCGACGAUCAGUAGCUGGUUUGAGAGAACGAUCAGCCACACUGGAACUGAGACACGGUCCAGACUCCUACGGGAGGCAGCAGUGGGGAAUUUUCCGCAAUGGGCGAAAGCCUGACGGAGCAAUACCGCGUGAGGGAUGACGGCCUUUGGGUUGUAAACCUCUUUUAUCAAGGAGGAAGUUCUGACGUGUACUUGAUGAAUAAGCAUCGGCUAACUCCGUGCCAGCAGCCGCGGUAAGACGGAGGAUGCAAGUGUUAUCCGGAAUCACUGGGCGUAAAGCGUCUGU